AUGGGUUUCGUCACCGAGGAGGAAGGGUAUGACUUUUAUCUACAAUAUGCAAGAGAAGCUGGUUUUGGCAUUACGAAGCUCAAGAGGAAGCCGAUGUCGCGUCUAUAUGCAUGCUCCCGACAAGGUACUUCGACAUUUUACAAGCCCGGGGAGGAACGGAAACGUGCAAAGAUGUCAAAGAGAGUUAACUGUAAGGCAGCGGUUAAGAUGAAGAAAAAAGGGAAAGAAUGGAUAUAUGAGAAAGUACUAUUGGAGCACAAUCAUACCCUAAAUCCUGAGCCAUGGGAGUUGAAGCACAUGCAUUCACACAAGAACAAAGACCCUGCUAUCAUGGAAUUCCUUGAUGAUCUGCAGAUGUGCGACGUCUCUCCUAAUGCCACCAUGAAUGUGUUGACCAAGAUGCAUGGCAACCGUGAGAACAUGCCAUGGAGUGAACGUGACUUGCAAAAUAGAAAAGCUGAAAAUGUGCGCAAGGAGCGAGCGGAUGAUGUAAAAAAACUAAAGGCUUUCUUCAACGAGUGCAGAGCACAGAAUAGUAAGUUUUAUUAUGACAUAGAACAUGACUCCGAGGGUGCUCCAAAGAAUAUAUUUUGGAGUCAUGCUAGCUGCCAAGCUAACUAUGCUGAGUUUGGUGAUGUGGUUACUUUUGAUACAACAUAUAAGUGCAAUUUUUACAAUAAGCCAUUAGCAAUGUUUGUUGGGAGCAACCACCAUUUGCAGAAUGUCAUUUUUGGUUUUGCACUCCUCGGUGAUGAGAAGGAGGAAACAUUUGAUUGGGUUUUUCGCACUUUCAAAAUGUGCAUGGAAAACAAAGAACCUCAUUGCAUACUUACAGAUCAAGACCAAGCAAUGGCAAAUGCUCUUCCGGGAGUGUUUCCAAACACUAUUCAUAGGCUAUGCAGAUGGCAUGUUUUGCAUGGUCACAAAGACAGCUUGAAGGUGUUGUAUAACUUGUAUGAUGGUUUGAAAGAGAAGUUGUUGACAAUAAUAAAUCAUCCCCUCACCCCCAUGGAGUUUGAGAAGGCAUGGAUGGAGAUGGUGAAUGAAUAUAGACUCGAGUCAGAUCCUACAAUUGGCAGUUUGUAUGAUCUGCGUACAAGAUGGAUCGCCGCAUACUUUAAGGAUGUUUAUUGUGGGAAAAUGACAUCUACGCAACGCAGUGAGAGCACAAACAGAAUUGCGAAAAGAAACCACAUUGACCCUACGACACCUCUGCACGUGUUUGCAAGAAAAAUGUUUCAGGUUUUGCAAGGGAGAAAAGAAGCAGAAGCCCGAGAGACCAUGGAAUCUCAGGUAUGA
rnacentral:rRNA from 1 species